rnacentral:rRNA from 1 species
UACGUAGGGGCGAGCGUUGUCCGGAAUGAUUGGGCGUAAAGGGCGCGUAGGCGGCUGUGCAAGUCAGUAGUGGAAGCCCAGCUUUUAAGGUUGGAAGUGCUAUUGAAACUGUGCAGCUUGAGUGCAGGAGAGGUUAUCGGAAUUCCCGGUGUAGCGGUGAAAUGCGUAGAGAUCGGGAGGAACACCAGUGGCGAAGGCGGGUGACUGGACUGCAACUGACGCUGAGGCGCGAAAGUGUGGGGAGCAAACAGGAUUAGAUACCCCGGUA